rnacentral:rRNA from 1 species
UCAAGCGAAUAAGCGCACACGGUGGAUGCCUAGGCGGUCAGAGGCGAUGAAGGACGUGGUAGCCUGCGAAAAGUGUCGGGGAGCUGGCAACAAGCUUUGAUCCGGCAAUAUCCGAAUGGGGAAACCCACUGCUUCGGCAGUAUCCUGCAGUGAAUUCAUAGCUGCUGGAAGCGAACCCGGUGAACUGAAAUAUCUAAGUAACCGGAGGAAAAGAAAUCAACCGAGAUUCCCUAAGUAGUGACGAGCGAACGGGGAGCAGCCCUUAAGCUGGAAUGGCUUUAGAAAAACAAUCUGGAAAGAUUGGCCAUAGAAGGUGAUAGCCCUGUAUUUAAAAGGGCCACUCCAGUGAAGACGAGUAGGGCGGGGCACGUGAAACCCUGUCUGAAUAUGGGGGGACCAUCCUCCAAGGCUAAAUACUCCUGACCGACCGAUAGUGAACCAGUACCGUGAGGGAAAGGCGAAAAGAACCCCGGAGAGGGGAGUGAAAUAGAUCCUGAAACCGUGUGCGUACAAGCAGUAGGAGCUCGCAAGAGUGACUGCGUACCUUUUGUAUAAUGGGUCAGCGACUUACUGUUCGUGGCAAGCUUAACCGUAUAGGGGAGGCGAAGGGAAACCGAGUCUGAUAAGGGCGCAUAGUCGCGGGCAGUAGACCCGAAACCGGGUGAUCUAGUCAUGGCCAGGGUGAAGGUGCCGUAACAGGUACUGGAGGCCCGAACCCACGUCUGUUGCAAAAGACGGGGAUGAGCUGUGAUUAGGAGUGAAAAGCUAAUCGAACCCGGAGAUAGCUGGUUCUCCUCGAAAGCUAUUUAGGUAGCGCCUCGGACGAAUACUACUGGGGGUAGAGCACUGUUAUGGCUAGGGGGUCAUCGCGACUUACCAAACCAUUGCAAACUCCGAAUACCAGUACGUACUAUCCGGGAGACACACGGCGGGUGCUAACGUCCGUCGUGAAAAGGGAAACAACCCAGACCCACAGCUAAGGUCCCAAAUUCACUGCUAAGUGGAAAACGAUGUGGAAAGGCAUAGACAGCCAGGAGGUUGGCUUAGAAGCAGCCACCCUUUAAAGAAAGCGUAAUAGCUCACUGGUCGAGUCGGUCUGCGCGGAAGAUUUAACGGGGCUAAGCAGUGAACCGAAGCUUGGGGUGCAUAAAACUUGUUUUAUGCGCGGUAGAGGAGCGUUCCGUAAGCCUGCGAAGGUGGAUUGAGAAGUCUGCUGGAGGUAUCGGAAGUGCGAAUGCUGACAUGAGUAACGAUAAUGCGGGUGAAAAGCCCGCACGCCGAAAGCCCAAGGUUUCCUUGCGCAACGUUAAUCGACGCAGGGUUAGUCGGUCCCUAAGGCGAGGGCGAAAGCCGUAGUCGAUGGGAAGCAGGUUAAUAUUCCUGCACCUCGCGUGAGUGCGAUGGAGGGACGGAGAAGGUUAGGUGUACCGGGCGUUGGUUGUCCCGGGGAAAGGCGGUAGGUUUGGAUCUUUGGCAAAUCCGGGGUCCUUUAAGACCGAGCACCGAGACGAGCCUUUAUGGCGAAGUCACUGAUACCACGCUUCCAGGAAAAGCUCCUAAGCUUCAGCUCACGAAGACCGUACCGUAAACCGACACAGGUGGGUAGGAUGAGAAUUCUCAGGCGCUUGAGAGAACUCGGGUGAAGGAACUAGGCAACAUGGCACCGUAACUUCGGGAGAAGGUGCACCCUUUUUGGUGGCUCAUGCGAGCUAUAGCUGAAGAGGGUCGCAGAAACCAGGCCGCUGCGACUGUUUAUCAAAAACACAGCACUCUGCAAACACGAAAGUGGACGUAUAGGGUGUGACGCCUGCCCGGUGCUGGAAGGUUAAUUGAUGGGGUCAGCCGCAAGGCGAAGCUCUUGAUCGAAGCCCCAGUAAACGGCGGCCGUAACUAUAACGGUCCUAAGGUAGCGAAAUUCCUUGUCGGGUAAGUUCCGACCUGCACGAAUGGCGUAACGACAGCGGCGCUGUCUCCACCCGAGACUCAGUGAAAUUGAAAUCGCUGUGAAGAUGCAGCGUUCCCGUGGCAAGACGGAAAGACCCCGUGAACCUUUACUAUAGCUUUACACUGAACGUUGAGUUCGUCUGUGUAGGAUAGGUGGGAGGCUAUGAAACUGUGGCGCUAGCUGCAGUGGAGCCAUCCUUGAAAUACCACCCUGUCGUGCUUGACGUUCUAACCUAGAUCCGUUAUCCGGAUCAGGGACCGUGUAUGGUGGGUAGUUUGACUGGGGCGGUCUCCUCCUAAAGAGUAACGGAGGAGCACGAAGGUACGCUCAGCGCGGUCGGACAUCGCGCACUGUGUGCAAAGGCAUAAGCGUGCUUGACUGCAAGAUCGACGGAUCAAGCAGGUACGAAAGUAGGUCUUAGUGAUCCGGUGGUUCUGUAUGGAAGGGCCAUCGCUCAACGGAUAAAAGGUACUCCGGGGAUAACAGGCUGAUACCGCCCAAGAGUUCAUAUCGACGGCGGUGUUUGGCACCUCGAUGUCGGCUCAUCACAUCCUGGGGCUGUAGUCGGUCCCAAGGGUAUGGCUGUUCGCCAUUUAAAGUGGUACGCGAGCUGGGUUCAGAACGUCGUGAGACAGUUCGGUCCCUAUCUGCCAUGGGCGUUGGAAGUUUGAGAGGGGCUGCUCCUAGUACGAGAGGACCGGAGUGGACGAACCUCUGGUGUUCCGGUUGUCACGCCAGUGGCAUUGCCGGGUAGCUAUGUUCGGAAGCGAUAACCGCUGAAAGCAUCUAAGCGGGAAGCGCGCCUCAAGAUGAGACUUCCCGGGGCACAAGCCCCCUAAAGGAACCAUAUAGACUAUGUGGUUGAUAGGUCAGGUGUGUAAGUACAGCAAUGUAUUGAGCUAACUGAUACUAAUGAUCCGUGCGGCUUGACC